rfam:Calothrix sp. PCC 7507, complete genome.
GGGCGAUUAGCACAGUGGUAGCGCACAUCCUUCACACGGAUGGGGUCACUGGUUCAAAUCCAGUAUCGCCCA